AGGAACUGGGAGAGAGCUGAGUAAGCAUGAAAAGAUCACUUUUAGAGUCUCCAUUACUGCCUCUCCUUCCAGUCCCCAGCACUGUAGAAGCACAGAUGAGAGGAGAGUUAUGGAUUGAGCGACUUAUCACUGUCUCUAUUCAUUUACCAUUUCCCCUGCUGAAAUCUAAGGGUCAUGACGGAAAGGACUUUGUCUCAUCUGGAUUGACCUUUUAGUGGACUGAAUUAUCUACUCAUUUUCAAUUAAGUUUCCAUAUGGCAAAUUGAAGCUGACCCUGUUACAAUUAGAAAACUACACAGAAGAAAAGAGGCCAUAAAUAUUGUGAGAGAAAUUGUAUUUUUGGAUAUUGUGUAUUUAGAUUUUUUCCAGCUCCCCAAAGAAAGAAAGAAAAGAAAAAGAAAAAAGAAAGAAAGAGCUGUUACAGUAUGUUGGGCAAAAUAGGCAAUCAAUUAACCUAAAUAACUGUAAACCCCUCUCCUACCAUAGGUCUCAUUUGUUCCAGUAUCCUCCAUCAUUGAUUUGGUUUCCUUGUGUAGACUCUAGAAAGAUUUUAUUAAGGUGAUGAAGUUUUAGGAAGAUUCAUUGUUAUUGAGAGGCAAAAAAUAUACCUGGGUGAUAGGAUGAUCUGUGCAGCAAACCACCAUG